UUUCAGUAAGGUCUACUGCCCCUACAUGUGAAUUCCUCCCCUAUUGACUGGUUUAGAACCACUUGAUUCGAAACUUCCCUCGAGGGUGAUUCCAUUCCUUGGAUGCCACCGGAUAGCGGAAAGAAAAGGAUGAUUACCACUUUUCUCAGGCUCCAUACAUGUGAUGCACCGAUUUGGAAAGGCAUACCUCUUUGUUGCAACUUGUCCACUGUAAGAGUUUUCCCAUGCUUCACCAGCCAUGUGAAAGCCACUACUCUCGGCAUGACGGUACCAUUCUGGAGCGAAUUAGCAAAUGGGCAGAGCUGAGAAGGUGCCUGAAGCCUCCUAUUUCCAACCCCUGUGGUCAUCUUACCAUGGGUUUAAGCAAGCUUCCUCAAGCAAACACGUCAACGCCUGAAAGGGGGCCAUCUUCCAGCCAUUCAUCUUCCAAAAAAUGGACAUUGUCACCCUAUCAUUAUUCACCAUAAAACUAAGGCCAUCAACCAUCACCUUACCUCACAAUUUUAGACUGAUUUCCCAUGGACAUUAUUCCCUUCCAUAAUUGGGAAACAGGGAGCCUACCAACCAUAACCAGAUCCCAUCCCCUGUUUGUUGCUCCAUAUUUUUAUAGAAUAACUCUUUUCCAAAGUGCCCGCUUCUCCACAACUGAUGUAGAGCGGGUCGCGGACACUUUCAUGUCCAAGAUGGAUUAGAGAAGGCCCGAUCAGAGGCAGAAGUCAUCAAGACCGUCAGCACCUUAAAACUGGCAUAUCUCGCAAACCGGAAUGAGUUACUUGAUGUACCAUAUUUGAUUUUGGGGUAGGACAAGCUACUUUAGCCAACCAACCCCGCAUAGCCAGGUUGCCCACGCCGAAUUUGUGAGAUUCCAUCAUAUCGGCGGUCAAAUUCCAUGUUUAUUUCCAUUUUUACUAUUUUUAGUAAGUUUUAGCUUGAUUUUAACUCUUCAUCUGUUGGGCUUUAGGAGUUGUGUCCAACAUGAAAAGUGUUUAGAAAAAUUUGGAGAAUAACGUGGUUAAGCCACAUAGGACACUUACUAUAAGUAGUAAAUUUAGUUACGAAUUUUAGGGAGUUUUAAUUAUAGUUUAAUUCCUAAACUUAUUCCAAGUCUUGGUAUCCCUAUUUAAAGGGUUGUAGACUCAUUUAUUUCAGCUAUCAAUUAUCAACAAGUUUCUUUCAUAUAUUUUAAAAUUAUUUCUAUUUCUUUUCCUCGUGGAUUCGAGAAGUUUCUGUGAGGAGUCUAGAGAAGCUCCGUGGAUUUGGAGUAAUUAUCCUUGAGGAAGACGGUGAUCGACCUCAUCAUGUUCAUCCCUGCAUCAACAACAAACCUCCAUCACAAUCUACACAGGCGAGUUUAGUUCCAUUCUCUGAUCCUGCCUAGCGCCUACUCCGAAACCCCUCCUCCGGUUUCAGUACCUCUUUCCAAUUGAUGAGAUGUAAUUUCUGGAUCUCAUCCCAGUAACCCCACAAGAAAUCCCUUUGGAUUUUUUCAAUCAUUUCUGCAACCAUGCGCAUGGUUUUAAAGAGGGAAGUAUUUUACACCGAUUACACAGAAGAUUCCUUGUUUACCUGCAAAUUUGCUAGUUCUUGCAUCACAAUUCACAUCUGCCAUGUGGACAGAGAUCCAAGCCAUUCAUCAGAUAUCUAAACAACAUAGAUAACCUGAUGGAAAGAUCUGACCUUGCACGUGUUA